rnacentral:rRNA from 1 species
GACGAACGCUGGCGGCGUGCUUAACACAUGCAAGUCGAACGAAGUGGCGAACGGGUGAGUAACGCGUAAGCAACCUGCCCUUCAGAGGGGGACAACAGUUGGAAACGACUGCUAAUACCGCAUACUGAAGGGGGGGAUUGCGUCUGAUUAGCUAGUUGGAGGGGUAACGGCCCACCAAGGCGAUGAUCAGUAGCCGGUCUGGGAGGAAGAACGGCCAAAUUGGGACUGGGACACGGCCCAGACUCCUACGGGAGGCAGCAGGUGGGAAUCUUCCGAAAUGGACGAAAGUCUGACGGAGCAACGCCGCGGUAGUGAUGACGGCCUUCGGGUUGUAAAGCUAUGUUAAUCGGGACGCGGUACCGGAAUAGAAAGCAACGGCUAACUACGUGCCAGCAGCCGCGGUAAUUC